AUUGAACGCUGGCGGCAGGCCUAACACAUGCAAGUCGAGCGGAUGAAAGGAGCUUGCUCCUGGAUUCAGCGGCGGACGGGUGAGUAAUGCCUAGGAAUCUGCCUGGUAGUGGGGGACAACGUUUCGAAAGGAACGCUAAUACCGCAUACGUCCUACGGGAGAAAGCAGGGGACCUUCGGGCCUUGCGCUAUCAGAUGAGCCUAGGUCGGAUUAGCUAGUUGGUGAGGUAAUGGCUCACCAAGGCGACGAUCCGUAACUGGUCUGAGAGGAUGAUCAGUCACACUGGAACUGAGACACGGUCCAGACUCCUACGGGAGGCAGCAGUGGGGAAUAUUGGACAAUGGGCGAAAGCCUGAUCCAGCCAUGCCGCGUGUGUGAAGAAGGUCUUCGGAUUGUAAAGCACUUUAAGUUGGGAGGAAGGGUUGUAGAUUAAUACUCUGCAAUUUUGACGUUACCGACAGAAUAAGCACCGGCUAACUCUGUGCCAGCAGCCGCGGUAAUACAGAGGGUGCAAGCGUUAAUCGGAAUUACUGGGCGUAAAGCGCGCGUAGGUGGUUUGUUAAGUUGGAUGUGAAAUCCCCGGGCUCAACCUGGGAACUGCAUCCAAAACUGGCAAGCUAGAGUAUGGUAGAGGGUGGUGGAAUUUCCUGUGUAGCGGUGAAAUGCGUAGAUAUAGGAAGGAACACCAGUGGCGAAGGCGACCACCUGGACUGAUACUGACACUGAGGUGCGAAAGCGUGGGGAGCAAACAGG
rnacentral:rRNA from 1 species